CAUGUUAACUUUCCUAAACUUCAAAUGAAUUAUACAUGUCCAGUAUGUCCACAAGGUCAGAUUGGUAAGCAAGGGUGAUUAUGAUAGCCUAAGUACUCUAGGAACUUAUAGUGGAAAAUACAGGAACUACAGAAAGCCACAGGCAAGCAAAUUCAAUCCUAAGGGGCUACACUAAGGCACACAGGAAGUAAAUAUACGUUAGUAUGAAAGAAUCAGCAAAAUCUCCAAAAAUGGCUGAGUAUUGUAGGAUAAGUCAUAGGAGCUAAUGAAGAGGCUCCUUAAGUAAAGCUGUUCUUAACAGAAGAGGAAGGUGCAAAGGUCUGGAGAGAACAGAACUCAGCUUUGUAGAUAAAAGUACACUGAGACUAGAACAUAAAACAAGAAACACUAGUGGUUGGGGAAUAAAAAGUGUAAGGAAAGGAUAAGGGUUGAAAAUGAUAAGGAACUCCGCUUCUACAUCUGUAAAACAGGAAUACUAUCAACU